GAGAGGAAUAUUGGUCAAUGGGCGAGAGCCUGAACCAGCCAAGUCGCGUGAAGGAAGAAGGAUCUAUGGUUCGUAAACUUCUUUUGCAGGGGAAUAAAGUGCAGGACGUGUCCUGUUUUGUAUGUACCCUGAGAAUAAGGAUCGGCUAACUCCGUGCCAGCAGCCGCGGUAAUACGGAGGAUCCGAGCGUUAUCCGGAUUUAUUGGGUUUAAAGGGUGCGUAGGUGGUUUGAUAAGUCAGCGGUGAAAGUUUGCAGCUUAACUGUAAAAAUGCCGUUGAAACUGUCGGACUUGAGUGUAAAUGAGGUAGGCGGAAUGCGUGGUGUAGCGGUGAAAUGCAUAGAUAUCACGCAGAACUCCGAUUGCGAAGGCAGCUUACUAAGCUACAACUGACACUGAAGCACGAAAGCGUGGGGAUCAAACAGGAUUAGAAACCCCGGUAGUCC
rnacentral:rRNA from 1 species